rnacentral:rRNA from 1 species
CCCUUAGAUGUCCGGGGCUGCACGCGCGCUACACUGAAUGAAUCAGCGUGCUAGAAAACCUUGUUUGACAUGGCUAGGUAACCCAUUGAAAAUCAUUCGUGAUUGGGAUCGGGACUUGCAAAUGUGUCCCUUGAACGAGGAAUUCCCAGUAAGUGCGGGUCAUCAGCUCGCGUUGAUUACGUCCCUGCCCUUUGUACACACCGCCCGUCGCUGCCCGGAACUGAGCCGUUUCGAGAAGACUGAGGAUUACUGACUUGAGGCCUUCACGGGCUUCUAGUCGGUGAAAAUAAAUUUAAUCGCAGCGGCUUGAACCGGGCAAAAGUCGUAACA